rfam:Populus trichocarpa scaffold_19_contig_442, whole genome shotgun sequence.
UCUAGAACUCUAUAUAUUGGCUGCACACCGAAUAAUAUCUAGGCUACAAGACUAAUUUGGACUUCUUUUUUCUUGCUAAGAUUUGAACAUAAAAAUGAAAGUAUUAAAUCUCGAGCUCUUCAUGAAUGUUUUAGGCCUACGUUUUAGUUUUGCAUA